GGUGAGAUGGCCGAGCGGUCUAAGGCGCCAGACUAAGGAUCAGCUUCUUUGAAGCUCAACUCAUCACGACAGUGGUGAUCUGGUCCUCCGGGGCGUGGGUUCGAAUCCCACUCUCAUCA